rnacentral:rRNA from 1 species
UACGUAGGGGGCUAGCGUUAUCCGGAAUUACUGGGCGUAAAGGGUGCGUAGGUUGUUUCUUAAGUCAGAGGUGAAAGCCCCCGGCUCAACCGGGGAGGGUCAUUGGAAACUGGGAGACUUGAGUGCAGAAGAGGAGAGUGGAAUUCCAUGUGUAGCGGUGAAAUGCGCAGAGAUAUGGAGGAACACCAGUGGCGAAGGCGGCUCUCUGGUCUGUAACUGACGCUGAUGUGCGAAAGCGUGGGGAUCAAACAGGAUUAGAUACCCCUGUAGU